rnacentral:misc_RNA from 1 species
GAUGAAGAACGCAGCGAAAUGCGAUAAGUAAUGCGAAUUGCAGAAUUCAGUGAAUCAUCGAAUCUUUGAACGCACAUUGCGCCCCUUGGUAUUCCAUGGGGCAUGCCUGUUCGAGCGUCAUUUGUACCUUCAAGCUUUGCUUGGUGUUGGGUGUUUGUCCUGAGGGACUCGCCUUAAAGUAAUUGGCAGCCAGUGUUUGGUUUUGAAGCGCAGCACAAGUCGCGAUUCAAAGCUAUACGCCCGCUUCCACAAGCCUUUUUCACUUUUGACCUCGGAUCAGGUAGGGAUACCCGCUGAACUUAAGCAUAUCAAUAAGCGGAGGA